GUUCGUGCACAAGUAAUGGCCAGAGAUGAAAGUACCGAAGGUUGGUUACCACUGCAAGGCGGUGGACUCGCGAACGUCUCCAUACGCAAACGCGUCCGGCUGCCACCGGCCACCGGUGGCGGUCACGAAUACAUCAUCUACGGACAAAGAAUUUCUGACCAAACGGUUAUCCUAAGUUGUGUUAUCAAUCGAGAUCUGCAGUACUUCAAAGUCAUGCCCACGUUUCAUCACUGGCGUGCCGGCAAGCAGCGGAAUGGGCUCACCUUCCAGACUGCGGCCGAUGCGAGAGCUUUCGACAAGGGAAUCAUCCGUGCCUACGAUGACCUCAUUGAUGGCAUGGAUGAUUACACGACGCACAACAAAUACAACGAUGUGGAUAAAGUUGGCGAGGACGACGUGUUCAUGACAUUGGAUCUACCGGUGGAACCUUCUGAGUCGCGAUCAAAUUCUGAGGGUAGCGGAAGUCAUCAAAGCGUCGAUAAACAAUCACAGCAGCAGCAAUCCAGUAUUACAUACAUAUCGGGCGAAAAACCGUCACCGCUGCUGAAGCCUGGUGAUGAUAAAAUUAAUGUCACUCCAAUAGUACCUGGUGACAACUACUCGUACGUUCAGAUAACUGAUCCGUGCGACAUCAAGUUGAAGUAUAACUUUUAUAACUUGAAGGUGCACGAGUACAACUAUCCGGUCGUCGACGAACCCGUGACAUCGAUUAUCCACCAUCCCGGCCGGCGGGACUCGACGUCCAGCCUGAAGAAGCGGAACGCGCUCGACGCGCCGGCGAUGAAGGACGCGACACUCAUCAAGACACGGUUGCGCUGCAGAUACUGUCAGGAGUUCUACAAUGACGAGUGGAACCACAAGGGUUCGUGUGAUUACGCGCCCGACUGCUUCAAGACGGCCAUCGAGAACGUGUCCGGGAUGCUGUGCGCGCGCUGCAUGCUGUACCACUGCAUGAAGGACUCGGAGGGCGACACCGCGUCCCAUCCCUGCUCCUGCACGGCCGAGUCCGGCUGCACGAAACGUUGGAUCGGUCUGGCUUUGCUGUCCCUGCUGGUGCCAUGUCUCUGGUGCUAUCCACCACUUCGCGCCUGCCACUGGAUCGGGGUCUCGUGUCGGCUUUGCGGUGGGAAACACAAACCACAAAUUUGACAUCCGAUCAAGAUCAUCAACCUAACAAGUAUUAAUCGGCUCGACUGGUAGUUGAUAGCUAUUGAGCAGCUCUCCAAGUCCCUUCUGAAUAGCAACUAGUAACACGAGGUACUGAAAAAAACAAAAAACAAAACGGAAACAUAAUGCAGCUUACACAGACGUGCACCAUACGGAAAAGCGAAAGAGAGGAAACGGAAACAGCAACAACAACAAACAAAAGAUGAAGACAAAUCCAACUGUAACACAACAAAACCUACCAAAGUGAUAAAGAGCGGAAAAAAACGAAAAUGAUGUUUAACGUUGAAAAAAUAAUAAAGAAAAAAAAGUGGGAAAAACCAAAUUCAGUUGUGCUACAACUAAACAAUAAGUAAAACAAACAAAUAAAGGAAAAUACACAAAACACAAAAAUAUCGCUACGCGUAGAUGAAAUGAACCAGUAAAUCAGAGUAAACACAUUCGUUGAUGUCUAAAUCUAGCUGAAACCAAAAAGAAAACUUAAACAAGUCGGACAAGACUUUAGCGGAAAUAACAAAAAGUUGUUAGAGGUGGAAUGGUGUGCUGGUGGCAGCCACACACGCGCGGCAACAAUCGGAUAACAAUAACGGAACGAACGGAAAAGGAAGCGUUAGCAGCCGAGCAACACAACACACACACAAUUUCAUAACACACAAUCUGUCGAAGUGAAAUUGAAGGGUUACGCUAACGGCAGCAGCAGCAACAACAACAAAAAAAGUCAAAGAAAACCAUAAAAUUUAUGGUUGAACAGUGCGCGCGAAAAUAGACACACACACAAAUUAUGGAUGCUAUUAUGGGAAGUCUUGUUUUUCCUGUGUUCCGAGGUAUUAUUGCUUUAGUUCAAAAAAUAAACAUUAAAGAUGGACGGGGAAGAGAGAAUAUUCAUUAAUCGGCGUAUGAAAGAAAUUACUAGCACGUAAGCAAAACCACGUUGUUGGAGAUUUUUGAAACUCAGAUCGUUUAUUUUGCAAUCUAUGGGGUGUGGCGCGCGCAGAACAAAAGCGAAAGAAAGAAAGCGAGCGUGUAGAAUCAAUCGUUCAACUAUAUGAGAAAAUAUAUAUGACUGUUUUGUGUCGUUUCGAGCGCGCAGUUGAAAGAUAUGCAUUAGUUUUACAUUUGAAAGUUUGUUUGUUGAAAAUAUUCGCUAGUUUUUUACUAUUUUUCGUUUUAUCGAUUGCAUUAUUACUAACGAAGAGAAAAAAAAGUGGGUGAAGAAAGUAUAUAUUAGAGAUAUAUAAGCCAUAGUUAUGUAUUCAGAUACACAAUCAUGGAUAUAACAUAAAGAAAACUAUAUAAAACUGAGCAGGUUGAGGUGACGAAACCUACUUUAAGAUGUACUAGUGCAUAGAAAAUCAUAAAAUCACAUUAAACACAUGGCUUCACUCUCCUGCUUCCACUCCCGGAUGAAAGUCCCGCUCCAGCUGAGAUGGUUCCGGCUGCUGUCGGCAGUUGUUGGUUUGGCGUCCUCUUUCUAAUCGCCGGAACCGCCGGACUACCGUGUGCAACCUGAGGAUUCUUUCGAACGAUCUUUCCAAAAUUUAAACCCUUUUUGCGCCGCGGCAUAUUCGGUGCCGGACCGGCCAACCUUGUGCCAUAUGGAUGCGCCCGCUGGUCGGCGGUUCCACACACAUAAACCAUGCUGCCCUCACGCGCAGGUGAAGAACCGUCUCGUUGGUGGAGGAAACGCGGACAGUGAAGUAGUUUCACAUUCGUAAAACAAAAAUCAACAGAGAAAUAAGUAACCGUUAAACCGUUAUCUUUAUCAUUGUCACACACACACACAUCUUUGGCGUUCCUGGUUUGUUUAUGUUCAUAGGGGCAUACCAUCUCGAACAAAGAAAAAAAAAACGUGCGGAAGUCGCAAAGGGCUCAGCGGUGACCGUCACAAAAAAUCAUGAUGAACAUAAAGAAAUCCAAGAAACGUAGAUCAAAUGAAAAAAAAUAUAUAUAUAUAUUCUACACAGACAAAAAAAUCUAUGUUUUAGCGUAACAGGAAGUCUUACAAGUUAUUAAAGACGAAUAAAAACAUUUACAUAAAGAAAAAAAUACAUAACUGCGUAAAAAAUACAAAUACAUUGUGUGAACAUAAUUCAAUACGAGAGAGACACUUUAAGAAAAGAGGUAAACUUGCUACGAAAAUAAACUUAUGUGUACAUUACAAAAGAUGAAAAAAACCAUUGUACGAAACAAAAAUCUGUCCUGUGUAAACCUGAUUUCAUUUUUAGCUGCUAAUAAUUUUAUUUCAUAGUUUUAUUGUGUUCAUCAGCAAAGAAAAGA